CUGGCAACAAAGAUUGGGGUUAAUACAGCAACCUUUGCCAAUUCACUGGGAUGGAGAGAUGACACUGGCACCCAGAAUAUUCUCCCUUGUCUUGGGGAAAUUGAACAGAGAGUCAGUGAACUGCUGGCUGUGUGGUCAUAUCAGAAGUAUCAGGAUGCUGAGGGGACUGAUGAAAGAACAAAAUCUGUUCUCACAUUCUUAGGAAUUAUAGCACCUCCAAUUCCUCCAGAUUAUGAACUUCAGAUUCCAUCUACAAGGUUGCUUCUUGAUAGUGAUGAAGAGAUUAAUGAAGAAGAGCUGAAACCACUUUCAAAGGAAGAACUGCAACAAAAG